CCAAGGGCACACCGGGGAUGGCAGAGGGUCGUGGGAAAGCGUUGACCCUCGUCAGGUCCCCGGGGAGCCCCUGG
ensembl:miRNA